GUGGAGUCAGAGGUAGGCAGGGUAGAAGCGGGCUUUUUCUCCUUGGCCGGACUGGAUGGGCCAAGAAUUAGAGUGCAAAGCUAUAAAGAGCAUUUGAUCCAACCUUUCCAUUCUCCUCCUCUUUGCAGCCAAGAGAAGCAGAGACCAGCCAAGGCUGAAGAGCUCUCUUGUGCCCUGAAUCCUGGGGAGCAGGUUUCCUGUGCCAGGAUCCCCAGCGGUGGCACCAGCCUCCCAGCUUCACCCACCAAAAGGGACACCAGCCUUGUCCGCCAGUGCCUGGGGCCACUGCUGGGUCCUGGCACCACAGAAGGUUUGAGCAGGGCCUUCCACCACUGCUCAUGCUGGCCCCGUGGCCGUCCAGCCUUCCAAACCCCGUUUCUGUGCUCUGACUUUGAAAUAUUGACUGCACUCCCUGCUGGCUCCCCCGUUUGUCGGUUGGGCUUUUGUUCAGGCGCAGCCUCCUGGAGGCAGCCUGGGGUCACCUUCACAUCCUGCCAGCCCCCACCAGAGGGGCUCCUGGCCAUGGAGAAAGGCAGGGAAGAAAGGGAAGACCCUGGGGACACCCCAAUCGAUGGGAGUUUUUCUUCCAGCGCAGCGGCAGCCCAGCAGUGCUCAGUGUCCAGGUUGCCUGUAUACAGCUCUGGCUCUGCUCAUGGAGAAGGGGGGCUGGACCCUGCAGAGGAACCGGGCCAUCGUCAAGAGUCUGGGCGGGGCUCCCAGUGCCACAGAAGUUCAACGCAGGCCAAGCUGGAGUGGGUAACGGCCCAGGCCAGGGGUCUGAAGGCUGGGCGUGCAGCUUCUGGAUAAAGUCUGCUCUGGAGUCAGGCAGGCCUAGGCUAGAGCCCUGGGCGAGCUACUCCACCCGAGUCUCAGAUACCACAUCUGUUGUUGUUUAGUCGCUCAGUCGUGUCUGACUCCUGGCGACCCCAUGGACUGCAGCACGCCAGGCCUCCCUGUCCUUCACCAUCUUCCGGAGUUUGCUCAAACUCAUGUCCGUUGAGUGGCUGAUGCCAUCCAGCCAUCUCAUUCUCGGUCGCCCCCUCCUCCUCCUGUCUUGAAUCUUUCCCAGCAUCAGGGCCCGUUGUUUACCG
rnacentral:lncRNA from 1 species